GAGGGUAGAGCUCAGUGGUAGAGCGCAUGCUUAGCAUGCACGAGGCCCUGGGUUCCAUCCCCAGCACCUCUG
rnacentral:tRNA from 1 species